rnacentral:sRNA from 1 species
UGAAGUCAGAAUUUAUAAAUUAACUAGCAAGGAGUCUUGUGGCCAGCAUAAAGACCCGAACCCAUUGGAGUUUUCAAAUUGAAAAUACCAGUCUUCAUUGCGAUUAAGAUUCGAACCCAGGACCCAAGGUUCGAAAACCAAGCACUUAACCGCUUUUGAUUUACAAGAACUCUUUAAAAAUGUCCUGCAAGAGAAAAACUCAAACUGAUAGAACAGUAUCAAAAAGACACAAAACA